rnacentral:hammerhead_ribozyme from 1 species
AUCCGGCUGACGAGUCCCGAACAGGACAAAACGCGAGCCCUGGAU